rnacentral:rRNA from 1 species
ACUGCUCAGUAACACGUGGACAACCUACCCUGAAGAGGGGGAUAACCCCGGGAAACUGGGGAUAAUACCCCAUAGACUAUGGAUGCUGGAAUGCUCUGUAGUUCAAAGGUCCGCCGCUUCAGGAUGGGUCUGCGGCCGAUUAGGUUGUUGUUGGGGUAACGGCCCAACAAGCCUGUAAUCGGUACGGGUUGUGGGAGCAAGAGCCCGGAGAUGGAUCCUGAGACACGAAUCCAGGCCCUACGGGGCGCAGCAGGCGCGAAAACUUUGCAAUGCGAGAAAUCGUGACAAGGGAACUCCGAGUGCCUGUAAAAUCAGGCUGUCCGCCAGUGUAAACAACUGGUGAAGAAAGGGCCGGGCAAGACCGGUGCCAGCCGCCGCGGUAAUACCGGCGGCUCGAGUGGUGGCCACUAUUACUGGGCUUAAAGCGUUCGUAGCUGGCUUGUUAAGUCUCUGGGGAAAUCUUCCGGCUUAACCGGAAGGCGUCUCAGGGAUACUGGCAGGCUAGGGACCGGAAGAGGUGAGAGGUACUCCAGGGGUAGGAGUGAAAUCCUGUAAUCCUUGGGGGACCACCUGUGGCGAAGGCGUCUCACCAGGACGGCUCCGACAGUGAGGAACGAAAGCUGGGGGAGCAAACCGGAUUAGAUACCCGGGUAGUCCCAGCUGUAAACGAUGCGCGUUAGGUGUAUCGGUGACCACGAGUCACCGAGGUGCCGAAGAGAAAUCGUGAAACGCGCCGCCUGGGAAGUACGGUCGCAAGGCUGAAACUUAAAGGAAUUGGCGGGGGAGCAC